UCUUCGGACUUGGGUGGCGCACGGGUGAGUAACGCGUAAAGAACUUGCCUCUUAGACCGGGACAACAUCUGGAAACGGAUGCUAAUACCGGAUAUUAUGGUUUUUUCGCAUGGAGGAAUCAUGAAAGCUAGAUGCGCUAAGAGAGAGCUUUGCGUCCCAUUAGCUAGUUUGUGAGGUAACGGCCCACCAAGGCAAUGAUGGGUAGCCGGCCUGAGAGGGUGAACGGCCACAAGGGGACUGAGACACGGCCCUUACUCCUACGGGAGGCAGCAGUGGGGAAUAUUGGACAAUGGACCGCAAGUCUGAUCCAGCAAUUCUGUGUGCACGAUGACGUUUUUCGGAAUGUAAAGUGCUUUCAGUCGGGAAGAAGUCAGUGACGGUACCGACAGAAGAAGCGACGGCUAAAUACGUGCCAGCAGCCGCGGUAAUACGUAUGUCGCAAGCGUUAUCCGGAUUUAUUGGGCGUAAAGCGCGUCUAGGCGGCAAGGAAAGUCUGAUGUGAAAAUGCGGAGCUCAACUCCGUAUGGCGUUGGAAACUGCCUUACUAGAGUACUGGAGAGGUAGGCGGAACUACAAGUGUAGAGGUGAAAUUCGUAGAUACUUGUAGGAAUGCCGAUGGGGAAGCCAGCCUACUGGACAGAUACUGACGCUAAAGCGCGAAAGCGUGGGUAGCAAACAGG
rnacentral:rRNA from 1 species